GAUGAACGCUGGCGGCGUGCUUAACACAUGCAAGUCGAACGGAAAGGCUCCUGCUUGCAGGGGUACUCGAGUGUCGAACGGGUGAGUAACACGUGGGUGAUCUGCCCUGCACUUCGGGAUAAGCCUGGGAAACUGGGUCUAAUACCGGAUAGGACGAUGGUUUGGAUGCCAUUGUGGAAAGUUUUUUCGGUGUGGGAUGAGCUCGCGGCCUAUCAGCUUGUUGGUGGGGUAAUGGCCUACCAAGGCGUCGACGGGUAGCCGGCCUGAGAGGGUGUGCGGCCACAUUGGGACUGAGAUAAGGCGCAGACGACUACGGGAGGCAGCAGUGGGGAAUAUUGCACAAUGAGCGCAAGAAUGAUGAAGCGACGACGCGGGGGGGAUGAAGGCCGUCGGGUUGUAAACACCUUUCGCUAGGGACGAAGAGCAAGUGACGGUACCUGGAGAAGAAGCACCGGCUAACUACGUG
rnacentral:rRNA from 1 species